rnacentral:miRNA from 1 species
UACCCGUGAUUCCAUGUAUCGAG